UGGGGAAUAUUGGACAAUGGGCGAAAGCCUGAUCCAGCCAUGCCGCGUGUGUGAAGAAGGUCUUCGGAUUGUAAAGCACUUUAUGUUGGGAGGAAGGGCAGUAAGUGAAUACCUUGCUGUUUUGACGUUACCGACAGAAUAAGCACCGGCUAACUCUGUGCCAGCAGCCGCGGUAAUACAGAGGGUGCAAGCGUUAAUCGGAAUUACUGGGCGUAAAGCGCGCGUAGGUGGUUCGUUAAGUUGAAUGUGAAAGCCCCGGGCUCAACCUGGGAACUGCUUCCCAAACUGGCGGGCUAGAGUAGGGCAGAGGGUAGUGGAAUUUCCUGUGUAGCGGUGAAAUGCGUAGAUAUAGGGAGGAACACCAGUGGCGAAGGCGACCACCUGGGCUCAUACUGACACUGAGGUGCGAAAGCGUGGGGAGCAAACAGG
rnacentral:rRNA from 1 species